UACAGAGGUCUCAAGCGUUGUUCGGAUUCAUUGGGCGUAAAGGGUGCGUAGGCGGCGCGGUAGGUCGGGUGUGAAAUCUCGGAGCUUAACUCCGAAACUGCAUUCGAUACUGCCGUGCUUGAGGACUGGAGAGGAGACUGGAAUUUACGGUGUAGCGGUGAAAUGCGUAGAUAUCGUAAGGAAGACCAGUGGCGAAGGCGGGUCUCUGGACAGUUCCUGACACUGAGACACGAAAGCGUGGGUAG
rnacentral:rRNA from 1 species